rnacentral:lncRNA from 1 species
AUCCUUCUGCGGAUACAUGGGACCUCUCCUCACCUUUAAUAUCAUUAUGGAUAAACAGGUUUUACAUUUUAUUUGGGGCUUUGCUGUUAGCAUUAGCCUUUGGAUUUGUGUCCAGAUUGUCAUCAAGACGCAGGGCAAGAACUUACAGGAAAAAUCUGUUCCAAAAGCAGCUCAGGAUUUGAUGACAAAUGGUUAUGUCUCCCUUCGAGAGAAAGACAUCUUUGUGUCUGGAGUGAAGAUUUUUUAUGGUUCUCAGACUGGAACAGCAAAGGGAUUUGCAACAGUUCUGUUUAGAUAA